ACAUUAAAAUUGUUUCGGAACAUUGGUAGUUUUAUUUUUUAAAUCAUAUAACAAUCUAGUAGAUAGACAAUAUACAGCUUUACUUUAUAAGUUUAUUACCGCUGACUGAAUACACACAGUAUGAAACGGGUGUUUUUCCUGCUAUUUAGUUGGAAACUGCUACUUGGGUCUUCUUGAAUUUUUAAAUAAAUAAGUUAUCAUCCACAUGUUUUUUUCAACGACAUACUGCUUUACACAUAAAUGUACAAUUUUUAUCACAGUUAAGUAAAUUCAUUUUCUGAUUGUCACUGUUCAACUAAAUUCUUGUUUAUGUUUUAUGUUUGUGCAAUUUUAAACUCUUUCAAGGUCUUUGCUAGAUUAUUCUACUUUAUUCAAACCAUAUCUUUAAAAUUCAAAACGUUUUACUCACACUUAUGCAAAGCUAAAUGAAUAACAAGUAUAUUAAUAUGUGCUUAAUUAAGUAUAAUUUGUGUUCUGAUAUUUGCAGGAAUCACUGCUGAGACAUUUAAUGGAACGUCUUCUAUCCAGAAUUAAUGAAGUUUUAGAUCGGCCACAUUUGGAUUUAGACUAUUUUCAUGACGUCAUAAAUCAGGAGAAGUGACCAGUGGACGAGGGCGACCCAAGUUAGCAGUUUCUGAAGACCUGCUGGCCCAUCUGAUUGGCAUGGCCCUACCAGUGUUAUGCAUUGCAAACUUGCUGGGAGUCAGCAUAUCUACUGUUUUCAGACGCAUGCAUGAACUUGGAUUGUCCACAAGAUCUUCAUUCAGCUGCUUAUCUGACAGUGAGCUUGACAUUGCUGUACGGUCAAUAAAACAUAAGACUGCCAAAUGCAGGAUAUAGGAUGGUUAAAGGCUGUUUACAAGCAGAUGGACACAGAGUUCAGUGGGAUCAGGUCAAAGAGUCUAUGCACAGAGUCGAUGCAGCUGGCGUUUUACAAAGAAUGAUGCAACUUGGGUACAUAGUCAGAAGGAUAUAUUCUGUACCUCAUUCUUUGUCCUUGGUGCAUUUGGACACAAAUCAUAAGCUCAUUAGGUACAACAUAAUCAUCUUUGGGGCAAUAGAUGGGUUCUCCAGAAAGAUUAUGUACCUGGAGCCUGCAACAAACAACACAUCAAGCACCGCUCUUACCUUCUUUCUAAGGGCAGUGGAAAACUAUGGUUGGCCUUACAGAGUAAGAGGCGAUGAAGGGGUUGAAAAUGUGGCAAUAGCUGAAACCAUGUUCAGUGUAAAAGGAACGGAGAGGCAGUUUCAUAGCUGGGAAAAGUUUACACAAUCAAAGAAUUGAGCGUCUGUGGCGAGAUGUCUGGACCUGUGCAACUCAUCUUUACUAUGAGGUUCUUCACAACCUGGAGGAAAGUGGCCUUCUGGAUUUGUCCAACACUUUGCAUCUGUUUUGUGCACACUAUGUGUUCCUCCCUCGGCUUGCAGAUGCACUUCACACUUUCACAGAAGGAUGGGACAAUCAUCCUUUAAAGUCUGAAGGUGGACUCACCCCUAACCAGCUGUGGACCUUGGGACACAUGCAGAAACCUAUUUGUGAAACUAGAUGCUCAGAACCUGGAGCUGUUUGGAACUGACUGGGAAACAUUUGAUGGUGUCAGUGAAGAACCCCUUGGAGUUCAAGUCCCAGAAAUUGACUGCCCUCUGUCACCGACUGCAGUGGAAGCUGUUCUGUCCAUGAUCAACCCACUUGCACCAUCUGAAUCAUAUGGUCAGGAUCUGUUUGUAUCAAUGGUUCAGUAUGUUGAAAGUCACUGGGAAACGAGCCACAGCAGUUAACACAUGUUGUAAAAAAGUGUACAUUUGCUAAAAUCCCACAUUAGCAAAUUUGAUUAAUUCUGCAUUAAUGUUAGUCAUAAUGUCUGUGCACAACUGUUCAUCUGUACCUAGUUUUUUUCACUUAUUUGCAUAGAGACCAUCACUUGUAGUUAAUAGAAAUGUAGACUAUGGUGAAACAGUUAAAUAGUGAAAAUUCAAUGAUAUUUUUGAUUUUUAUGCAUAAACCAGAACAUAUGCAUCAGUGAUUCAAUUUUGAUCGUUUGAGAAACAAAAACAACGUUAUUAAAGAAUUUUAAAAAUGUCAA